GCUGAGACAGUGGCAGAGCGCGCCAGAGGCAGAGAGGAGGCAACGAAGGAGCAGCUCUGCUCCCGACUCUCCAUCCCAGAGAAGUCCGAGAGGAAGAAGACCGAGAGAAGUCCACGGUCCCGCCCGGCCGCUGCAUCCCAUAAGCUGCCUGAAGUGACAACCAAGACGUCCGCCGCGAGGUCAAGAGGACAUGAUGAGCCAUGAAGAUGUUGGUUGAACCUCAGACAACAAGACUUAACACAUGGGAUCCUUCGGGAGUUGACGCACAGACCUGCGACAUGGGGAGCCUGAACCCUUCCGGUCAUCUUCCCCCAACACAAGAGGAUGUGUUUCAGAUAACCCAGUGGGCAGAACAGCACACACCAACGUGAACCCUCGCUCAUCUCAAAGUAUCACCGGAUCAUCUGUUUUGUAUCAAAAGUCUUACAUGAAAGUAUUCUGCGCAGCUCAAGCAAUUCCUUGCAAAUAAAUGUAGUUGAAUCAAAAGUAUAAUAUGGUCUUCUGAAAUCUACUGGAAGUAAAGUACAAUGGGUGGGAGGGAUAUCCAGAUAUUAAAAAGAAGUAUAAAAAUGAAGUGAUUUGCUAUAAUGACACAUCAUUAUUUAUAGUCUGACAGUAUUCAAGUUAUUUACUUAAGUAAAAGUAGCCUAAGGAUACCGGGGAGAUUUACUUAAAGUAACAAAAGUAAAAGCACAAGUACUUAAUGUUGCACCUGGUUCAAAAGCGACCAAUGUUAUCUACUUUCUUUAUUAUGAUGUAAAUUAAUUCAUAAGAAAGCAUUGUAUUUUAUAAGACAUCAAAUCUUAACAUGCAUAAUUAUGCUGGCAAAUAGAUUCAUUUUAUAUUUUUCAAACGUAACGCUGUUUAAGGAGACGGUACUUAAUUGCAGUAAAAUGAAUGUUCUGUUAAUGUUCUUUCCACAGGUGAUGCAAUAGUUUACCCUAACUUGCCAUCAUUAUCUGUUUCCUCUUUCUUCCAAAAUGUAUUGCAUCUACGUAGAAUAUCAAUCUCCUCACUGCAUCAAACUGUUCUUUUUAGGUCAAGUGCAUUGAAAUCCAACCUGUUCGCUGACAAAUGAUUGGGAAUUAAUGUAAACUGUUGCCUCACUACUCACUCCUGGUACCAUGAGGCCUCAUUGAGCAGUUGUGCUCUUCUUUCCUCUCUUCCGUGCGUGUCAGCUUUCCACCACCACCAUCUCCACCUGCACCCUCAGUGCACCACAGUUGCAUUAUAAAACUUGUAUAAGAUCAUUAGCAUACAAAGCAGGAAACCUACUGUGUCAUACAUAUUUAUCUGGAUGUGCCUGACUUUGGCGCGCAUGCACAAUCACACUGUAACCCUUUUACAACCGGGUGAACUGUCUUUCUGCUGAAGGAGAGCUGCGAACAGACACUAUGAAGUGGAUGUUACCAGAAGCACGUACUGUUUUAAUGGAUAGAUAUUUAUUCAUGCAACAUCUUGAGAAAGACAAGCUUACAUUUGCCAUAAACUUCACAUUAAAACAUGUGCAGCUGCUUGCGAGAGCUAGAAAAUGUGUUUAUUUGGAAACAGAGCAGAUGGAGUUUGGUUAGGUUCAUCAGAGCAGUUUGCUUUGAGCAUAUCAAAUACAGUUUACACACAGAGGAAUUUCGGUCGAGUAAUGCCUGCAAUACAUAUUCAUCUGCUGCACUCAGAAGCACGUAAUCAAACAGAGAGAAAUACAGAGGACAUGGCCCCUAUAAAUACUUGUAUCCCGUGUGGUCUACCCCUGACUUUUGAAUGACUAUGAAAUCAGCUCAAUUUCUCAUUCCCUUCCUCUUCAAAUCCUCUUUUUUUCUACUAUUACCAACUAUUCUACCUUCUUGAUGAAAGCAGAAGUCCUCCGUUGAUUAUAUCCACCUGUCUCCUUCUCUUCCCCACCUCCUGUGAGAUUGCCGUCGUGUCUUAUGGCUUUUUAUUCCUACGUGAUGGUAGAUGGGUUCAUGUAGGAGUAGAAGCCACUAAACACGCGGUGAGUGCUCGACAUGCUGGCCAGCACACACAGCGAGCUUCCUGUGGCUAUGACUGCUUCCUGUGGAUACGACAGCUGCCACCUUCUCGCCCAUUAUCAAGGAUAUGCCCAUUAUCAAGAAUAUGCAAGCGAAAAAAGUAGUCCGCGCUAUAGUCGCCGCAGGGAGUGUGUACUGUUUCAGGUUAUCAUUUCAGACCAGAUUUGUAAUGUGAAAAAUGUUAAAUUAACCUAAUUGAACAAUUGGUUUUAAGACAAUAGAGCUGAAUGGUGCUUUUCGUGUGGGCUGACAAAUCAAUUUUGAGUUGUGAAUAGACCUACUUUUUCACAAAGGCUUCCCACCUGAAUGAUGGCUGCACGUGCCCUGAAUUUAAAACUCAUUCCUGCAUUCCUCUGCCCCGAGGUUGCUGUAUAAAACUGGAGCUGGACAGCUCUCCAAAAAAGAGAUCAGGAGGAGCGGAUACCACAAUUAAAACGAAACAACUUACAGAGGUAGGUCAUCUAUGUUGUUUGUUAAUACGCCGAAUGUGAAGGGACCAUCUCUCCUCCAAGAGUGACAACAUACAGAAAGUGUGAGCAGAAUGUAUCACCCAUCAAUCCCGCUGUCAAUAAAAAUGUCACCAAAUUCUAUACAUGUUCUAUUUAGAAAUAUGUUGUUGCUGUCCUGUGAAAACCCUGAAUCUCCAAGAUGACUUGUGCUAAGCUUUGUAAUGUUUAUAUUUCUUCAAGUAACACGGUUUCGCUUUGGGUUAGAAAUCUGUUGUGUCUUGGUCUGCCAUAGAAAUGCAAGUUCAAUAUUUGGUCAACUUUUAUCUCUGUUUUAGUCUCCACCCGGUCCAUAGACUAAUAUGUUGCUGCUAGAUGCUGCAACACGUCCAUCCGCUGGUUGCUGUGUAUGUCUGCAGUUCUGUAUGCAGUUAGUGUUAAAUCGGUUGGCAAUUUUCGUUAUUCUCUGGAUAGCACUACAUAUUUGUUUUGUUAUUUUUGUCAUUUCACAUGAACACCUGUUUUUUAGUCAUCCGUUUCACAUGAGCUCUUUGUAAGGACUCUGCUUAAUUAGACCAACACUGUUCUUGUAAAGCUUUCAACACCAACCUGAAAAUGGAACUCAGCUCAGGGCAAAUCUCUGUUCAAUCAUAAAUUAGGUCCAGAACAAGUCAAAAGGGCCUAUAAUGGUAUUCAUCAGCACUAACUUUCUGCCUGAAAUAAACUUGGCACCAACCAAUUAAAAAAGAUAUUGAAAUGAUCCUGCGCGUGCUUUGUCUGGUUGGUGCUGUGGGAAUUGGGUUUAAAUGUCAUCCUUCUGUUUCUAUUCGCUGUAAAACAGCCUCCUGCUUUUCUCCUCCUGAGCAGAGACUGAUUAAUUUCUAAAUGUGUAGUUGUUGUAAACCCAGAACUGAAUAAUUAAUCCCGGGAUAUUACGACAAAUUGACCAAUGCUUGCAAUCGUGUGACAUUAUAUAUUUGUCGAUAUGAGGGGCAUAAUUAUUCAAGGUGGAAUUGCAUUUGAUAUGGUCUACUAAGGCUUAAUGAUUUAUUCACAGCUGUAAAUUGUUAUGAUCUAAAAUUCAUCGGGGUGGAAUGGAAAGUUUCUUUUGCUUGCAUUUUUGGAUGAAUUUAUAUUUCAGGUUCUCACUUCAACAUAUUCUCUUAAAGAGAGGAAGUCAAAAAGAAUAGUCGAGCAGCAAAGACACGUGAGAGGAAGCUGAGAGGAUUCGAUUCAGGAACAGUAGGGGGUCCAUGGAAAUCUAAAAGUUCCCAUUCAAUCAUCAUCGUAUCUAUGAGACAGAGCCUGAAUUAUUUAAAACAGCUUAGCAUAUGAAGAGGAAGUUAUGUUUCAACACAUUGUGGCCAUCCGCUGUUUCACCCGAGAUUGUGUUCUCAUUUUGAUUGUGCUGUAACCCUCAUAUCCUCAACGUGUUUGGCGAAAACAGUUUGGGGAUUUAUAUAACUAGGUCCUCACGUUAUGGAACUUGAUUGAGCUGUACAAGGUCGCAUAAUCCUCAAGUUUAGGUAAAAACAUACAAAAUGUCAGAAAUGGAGAAAUGGGACUUUCAUCUGACAGCUGCAAUAAUGAAGCAUGUUUGUGUACAGUAUGUGUAUGAGUGCUUAGCUACUGUAUCCACCUCCCUCAGGCUGCACUUCAGUAAUAAAUAAUGCUCUUUAGUGUUCUCUGCUUCAUUUGUUUUCUGUUGUAACGUCAGUGCUGCUCAAUAAAUUAUAAAUCAAGCCUGUUCAA